rnacentral:rRNA from 1 species
CAGUCGCCGCGGUAAUACGAGGGGUGCAAGCGUUAUUCGGAUUGAUUGGGUGUAAAGGGUGUGCAGACGGCUUAUUAAGUCACUUGUUAAAUUCUUCGGCCUAACUGAAGGUCUGCAAGUGAUACUGAUGAGCUAGAGGGUGGAAGAGAGAAGUGGAAUUCUCGGAGUAGCGGUAAAAUGCGUAGAUCUCGAGAGGAACACCAGUGGCGAAGGCGACUUUCUGGACGAAAACUGACGCUGAGGCGCGAAAGCCAGGGGAGCGAACGGGAUUAGAUACCCCUGUAGUCCCUGUCUCUUAUAC